AAGGAAGAAAGAGGGAGGUAACGCUGAGGAAGGGUGGAAAGCAGUUCUGCGUCCGUGGGUGGAGCCCGCCCCUUGGCUGACCGCAUGGUGCCCGCACGGUCCCUUCCCUUCCCCCAGCGUCCAGCGCCCGGAGGUUCUGGAUUUGCGCCAUGCUCAGCAGCUGGAGUCACAUCUUCGUUUCCCUGCCCAUUUCCAACAUCUUAGAGUUGAUGCGUCCUUUUUUACUUAAAACAACUACAACCAACCAUGUUCUCAGGGUUGUUUUAAGCAAAAUCAAACAACCCCUCCAAAAAAAGCAAACGAAAAAUUCCGGGUAAAAUCAACUAUGCUGAGACCACGUUUUCGUUGAAGCUGCCCUAAGACCAAUGAAGCUGAGACCGACCUUCAAGGAUUAACGAUUUCUGUAGCUGAAAUGUUCUAAUUUCACUGACGUUUGGUGGAGACGGUGAGAAAAAAUAAAUAUGAAUUUGACUUGGAAAAGCACAAAACAAACGAAAUAAUAAUAUUUAAUUUGAUUAACUGAGAAGGCAAACAGCCACAGUGGUGUAUUCUAGGUACUGGUGUCUUUGGUGAGUUUGUAAUUAUAUAAAUAAAUUGCUGUUGGUUUCAUCAAAAA
rnacentral:lncRNA from 1 species